UUCUCAUCCAGGAUGAUGCAGUUUGACAAUUUCCAUGGAGGUGAUUGAUGAUGAUAAAUAAUUGGUGAAGUAGGCCUAAUAGAACAGUGCCUGGACCACAAAGAGAAACACAAACUACAGCGGUUAUAUGAGACUGGUGUAAGAGAUGUUUUCAUUCAAGUAAUCCAAAUAUUCAACUUUGAAGACUUAGGAACCACGUGAUGAAGAUGGAAUUUUUUUUUUCCAAGUCCAAUUUAAAAAAAUUAUUAUCACAACCCAAAUUCAUGACGUAUGA